GACGAACGCUGGCGGCGUGCCUAAUACAUGCAAGUCGAGCGGAAGUUGGAGAGCUUGCUCUUCAACUUUAGCGGCGGACGGGUGAGUAACACGUGGGCAACCUGCCCUGCAGAUAGGGAUAACUCCGGGAAACCGGUACUAAUACCGAAUAGUUUUCGCCACCUCCUGGUGGCGUACGGAAAGACGGUUUCGGCUGUCACUGCCGGAUGGGCCCGCGGCGCAUUAGCUAGUUGGUGGGGUAACGGCCCACCAAGGCAACGAUGCGUAGCCGACCUGAGAGGGUGAUCGGCCACACUGGGACUGAGACACGGCCCAGACUCCUACGGGAGGCAGCAGUAGGGAAUCUUCCGCAAUGGACGAAAGUCUGACGGAGCAACGCCGCGUGAGUGACGAAGGUUUUCGGAUCGUAAAACUCUGUUGUGAGGGAAGAACAAGUACCACUUAACUACUGGUACCUUGACGGUACCUCACCAGAAAGCCACGGCUAACUACGUGCCAGCCGCCGCAGUAACAC
rnacentral:rRNA from 1 species